AUUGCUCUUCUUUCCCAGUCCACAACAAUUUUAAUUCUUGUGAUGUAUUUCAACAAUGAAUUGUCUAAUCUGAAAGAUCGUCUCCUUAGCACGCUGCAAGAUCAAAAGUACUCGGAUUUUACAAGGGAUCGAAUAAAUUUCUUUCUAUGGGACUUAAAAUUCCUCGAUUGUUUUCUCCAUUUGAAAAGGUUACCUUUUGCAAGUGAAUGCGGUAUGCUAAAAGUCUCACAGAAAAUGAUAGAAAUUUGGAAGUUUCAGUGUCCUAGAGAAUCCUAUGAUUGUCUAGAUCUAUUUCCGUACAAGACUCUGUAUGUUUUUAAAUCAUUUGCCUACUGGAAGAAGGUAAUUUGGAAGACUAAGCAAGAAUUCAGAGCUGAAUACUCUUUUCCAAAUACAUCACUUGCAGCCAACAAGGUGGAUGAUGUUAGCCCCAAAUUUGUGAUGGAAGUCAUCGAUGCUUUUGUGGAGAACCUCAAUGUUCUAGUGAAGAUCAAUAAUCCAAUUUCGUGGCUUUUUGUUCCAGAACACAAGGAACAAAUAGAACAAGUGUUAAAGGAGUUGAAGUUAUUGAGAUUUUUUGUCUGCUUUGUUUCAAAC